rnacentral:rRNA from 1 species
UACGGGGGGGGCAAGCGUUGUUCGGAAUUACUGGGCGUAAAGGGCUCGUAGGCGGCCAACUAAGUCGGACGUGAAAUCCCCAGGCUCAACCUGGGAACUGCGUCCGAUACUGGAUGGCUUGAAUUCGGGAGAGGGAUGCAGAAUUCCAGGUGUAGCGGUGAAAUGCGUAGAUAUCUGGAGGAACACCAGUGGCGAAAGCGCGAGACUGGGCCAUAACUGACGCUGAGGAACGAAAGCCAGGGUAGCAAAAGGG